rnacentral:lncRNA from 1 species
ACAAUCAUGGAAAUAAUAUCCGUAGACUUUUUUAAAACGCAUCUUGUCUUACUAUUUUGUAAAGCCAUUUUAUUUUUAGUUAAUACAAACGUCCAUGACCGCUAGAAAUAGUAACUCCCCCCCUCCCCCUACCACAAUGUUGGUUCAAACCAUGGUUAUUGGGCCACAAACCAACAUUGUAAACGGGGAGGGGGGGAAAUUGGGAAAUUUUUGAAAAGUCUACGAAUUAAUUUCCAUGAUUGUCUAUAAAAGUACGGCACUUAGUCAUUUUCGACCCGAAACAAAG